rnacentral:lncRNA from 1 species
UCUAGGUAGUAGUGUUACAGAUAGAGAAAUCACAAGAUAUUAUCAUAUAAGUACUUUGUCUAGCAAUCCUUUGUUGAUUUCUCUUUCUUAGCCUAUUCGGAUCAAGGGACUCUGCCAGAGUAGGUUAAUCUUAGACUCUUUUGUCAGUUUGGGCUUCUUAACCUAAGCACGACUCUUUAGCACCUUCUUUUCUUUCUCAAAGAAUUGUUAUCCCACCGA